rnacentral:rRNA from 2 species
UGAACGCGGCGGUGUGCCUAAUACAUGCAAGUCGAACGCGUUGGCCCAAUUGAUUGAUGGUGCUUGCACCUGAUUGAUUUUGGUCGCCAACGAGUGGCGGACGGGUGAGUAACACGUAGGUAACCUGCCCAGAAGCGGGGGACAACAUUUGGAAACAGAUGCUAAUACCGCAUAACAACGUUGUUCGCAUGAACAACGCUUAAAAGAUGGCUUCUCGCUAUCACUUCUGGAUGGACCUGCGGUGCAUUAGCUUGUUGGUGGGGUAAUGGCCUACCAAGGCGAUGAUGCAUAGCCGAGUUGAGAGACUGAUCGGCCACAAUGGGACUGAGACACGGCCCAUACUCCUACGGGAGGCAGCAGUAGGGAAUCUUCCACAAUGGGCGCAAGCCUGAUGGAGCAACACCGCGUGAGUGAAGAAGGGUUUCGGCUCGUAAAGCUCUGUUGUUAAAGAAGAACACGUAUGAGAGUAACUGUUCAUACGUUGACGGUAUUUAACCAGAAAGUCACGGCUAACUACGUGCCAGCAGCCGCGGUAAUACGUAGGUGGCAAGCGUUAUCCGGAUUUAUUGGGCGUAAAGAGAGUGCAGGCGGUUUUCUAAGUCUGAUGUGAAAGCCUUCGGCUUAACCGGAGAAGUGCAUCGGAAACUGGAUAACUUGAGUGCAGAAGAGGGUAGUGGAACUCCU